rnacentral:rRNA from 1 species
UGAGGAAUAUUGGUCAAUGGGCGAGAGCCUGAACCAGCCAAGUCGCGUGAAGGAAGACUGCCUUAUGGGUUGUAAACUUCUUUUAUACAGGAAUAAAAAGGCUUACGUGUAGGCCAUUGCAAGUACUGUAUGAAUAAGCAUCGGCUAACUCCGUGCCAGCAGCCGCGGUAAUACGGAGGAUGCGAGCGUUAUCCGGAUUUAUUGGGUUUAAAGGGUGCGCAGGCGGGCUUUUAAGUCAGCGGUGAAAUCUGGACGCUUAACGUCCAAACUGCCGUUGAAACUGGGAGUCUUGAGUAUGGAUGAAGUAGGCGGAAUUCGUUGUGUAGCGGUGACAUGCAUAGAUAUAACGAGGAACUCCGAUUGCGUAGGCAGCUUACUAAGCCAUAACUGACGCUCAUGCACGAAAGCGUGGGGAUCAAACAGGAUUAGAUACCCUGGUAGUCCACGCCGUAAACGAUGAUUACUAGUUGUAUGCGAUAUGAUAGUAUGUGACUAAGCGAAAGCGAUAAGUAAUCCACCUGGGGAGUACGCCGGCAACGGUGAAACUCAAAGGAAUUGACAGGGUCAUAGCUGUUUCCUG